GACGAACGCUGGCGGCGUGCUUAACACAUGCAAGUCGAACGAAGUGGCGAACGGGUGAGUAAUACGUGGGUAACCUGCCCUCCUUUUUGGGAUAAGCCUUGGAAACGGGGUCUAAUACCGAAUAAAGGGGGAUGGGCUCGCGGCCUAUCAGCUUGUUGGUGGGGUGAUGGCCUACCAAGGCGGUGACGGGUAGCCGGCCUGAGUGGGUGACCGGCCACAUAGGGACGGAGGUACGGCCCAGGCUCCGACGGGAGGCAGCAGUGGGGGAUAGUGGACAAUGGGGGAAAGCCGGAUGCAGCGAAGGCGCGUGGGGGAUGAAGGCUUUGGGGUUGUAAACCUCUGUCGCUAGAGAACGGGUAGGUGGAGAAGAAGCGACGGCGAACUACGUGCCAGCAGCCGCGGUAAUAC
rnacentral:rRNA from 1 species